rnacentral:rRNA from 1 species
CGUAGGUGGCAAGCGUUGUCCGGAUUUAUUGGGCGUAAAGCGAGCGCAGGCGGAAGAAUAAGUCUGAUGUGAAAGCCCUCGGCUUAACCGAGGAACUGCAUCGGAAAACUGUUUUUCUUGAGUGCAGAAGAGGAGAGUGGAACUCCAUGUGUAGCGGUGGAAUGCGUAGAUAUAUGGAAGAACACCAGUGGCGAAGGCGACUCUCUGGUCUGCAAACUGACGCUGAGGCUCGAAAGCAUGGUAGCGACAGGAUU